GUAUUAUCUUCGCCGUUCAAUUUCUCUUGCUGACCAUCAGCUUCUCGUCUCUCCCUAGAGCGCUUGACGUGUGCAUGUGGGAGAAGAAACAUGGCUGGUUCUUCUUGAAGGGGAUUUCUUCUGCCAAUGGUCAAGAUUGUGACAUUGUUGCUUGAGAAUGGAGCUGAUGUGAAUUCCAGGAAUUAGUGUGGGCAGGUAUGUGAUUUGGGUCUUGUUUUGAUGGUUGAUCAGUGCCAUUUCUUAAGCUAAUGCAUGGUGAUAGUUCUUUUGGUGGGAGACCAGCUCUAAUUCUUAUUUAAGAUUCUUGAAA